rnacentral:rRNA from 1 species
GCAUGAAGCCCCCCUCAAGAUGAGAUUUCCCAACUUCGGUUAUAGGAUCCCUCAGAGAUGAUGAGGUUAAUAGGUUCGAGGUGGAAGCGUGGUGACACGUGGAGCUGACGAAUACUAAUCGAUCGAAGACUUAAUCAAUUUUUUCAA